UGAAACAUCUAAGUACCCAUAGGAGAAGAAAACAAUAGUGAUUCCGAGAGUAGUGGCGAGCGAAAUUGGAAGAGCCCAAACCGGAGUUGUUACGGCAACGCCGGGGUUGUAGGACUGCAUUUAGAAAAAGCUUCUGGGAAGGAGCGCCAAAGAAGGUUAAAGCCCUGUAUUCUAAUAUUCUUCUGUGCCACUUGCGUAUGACUCUUGAGUAGCAUCGGCCACGUGAAAGCCGGUGUGAAUUCGGGGAGACCACUCUCCAAGGCUAAAUAGUAUUCAAGAUCGAUAGUGAACAAGUACCAUGAGGGAAAGGUGAAAAGAACCCCGGUGAGGGGAGUGAAAUAGACCCUGAAACCAUGUGCCAACAAUGAGUCGGAGCCCUUCGGGGUGACGGCGUACUUUUUGUAGAACGGACCAACGAGUUUGCUGUAUGUGGCAAGGUUAAGGAAGUUACAUCCGAAGCCGAAGGGAAACCGAGUCUGAAUAGGGCGACUGAGUCACAUGCACAAAACCCGAAACCCAAGCGAGCUACCCAUGAGCAGGCUGAAGAUCCGCUAACCCGGAUUGGAGGGCCGAACCAAUUAGUGCUGCAAGACUACUGGAUGACUUGUGGGUGGGAGUGAAAAGCUUAUCGAGCUGGGAGAUAGCUGGUUCUCCGCGAAAUAUAUUUAGGUAUAGCCUUGAUACGUAACACACGGAGGUAGGGCUCUGAUAAGGCUAGCGGGUCGCGAGACUUAGCAAACCUUGAUAAACUUCGAAUACCGUGUGCGCAAUAUCAGGAGACAGACAGUGACAGAGAAGUGCCAUUGUCAAAAGGGAAACAGCCCAGAUUCCUGUCUAAGGUCCCAAAAUGUAUGCUCAGUGGAAAAGGAUGUAGAAUUACUAAGACAACCAGGAUGUUGGCUUAGAAGCAGCCACUCAUUUAAAGAGUGCGUAAUAGCUCACUGGUCGAGUGAUUCUGCGCCGAAGAUUCAACGGGGCUAAGCAUACUACCGAAGACGGAAGCUCUCUUUAUGGGAGCGGUAGCGGAGCGUUGUCUAGGCCGAUGAAGGUGGGGGGUGAUCCCUGCUGGAGGUAUGACAAGUGAAAAUGUUGGUAUGAGUAACGUAAUCGGACUGAAAACGUCCGACACCGUAUGUCCAAGGUUUCCGAUCCAACGUCAGUCGUGGUCGGGUGAGCCGGUCCUAAGGCGUAGCUGAAAGGCGAAGCUGAUGGAUAGCAGGUUAAUAUUCCUGCGCUUCAAAAACACGUUACACCGAUGCGGGGACGCAGUGUGUUUCUGGGAGUUUUAAUAGAUAUACCGAGCGUGAGGAGAUCUGAUAUUUAGGGAAGUCCGGAUAUCACAUAAGAUCGACAAAACGCCCUGAGAGUUUUAAGCCUUCGGGUAAGAAACUUUCAGCCCUACAGAAAUAUGCUGUCAAGAAAAGCCGCUAGGAAGUGUUAUGAAACCGUACCGAAAUCGAACACUCGUGGACUAGUGUGAGUACACUAAGGUGGACGGGAUAAUCAAGCUUAAGGAACUCUGCAAAACAGCGGUCGUAACUUCGGGAUAAGACCUGCCUAGACUUUAUUUUAGAGUCUAGGCCGCAGCUAAAGAGCUCAGGCGACUGUUUACCAAAAACACAGCUCUCUGCUAACUCGCAAGAGGAUGUAUAGGGGGUGAUGCCUGCCCAGUGCCAGAAGAUUACGAGGAGGGGUUAACGCUCUGAAUUUAAGUCCUGGUGAACGGCGGCCGUAACUAUAACGGUCCUAAGGUAGCGAAAUUCCUUGUCGGGUAAGUUCCGACCCGCACGAAUGGCAUAACGGUCUGGGCACUGUCUCAAGCAUGGUCCCGGUGAAAUUGCAAUAUCGGUAAAAAUGCCGAUUACUCGCAGCAAGACGGAAAGACCCUAUGAAGCUUUACUAUAACUCCGAAAAUAAGCGCAAUUAAACUAUCGAGCCAGGCCAGUUUUGUAUAAUACAACAGAAUCAAUCCCACCACCAGACCAAUCGACGAAUAGGUAUCCGAUUGCAGGUGCUUUCCACCCGAAACCAGGGCGAUGGAAUUAUGCUUCCUGCCAAUCGAAAUACUGUACCAUCCCAGAAUAUAAUUGAGCAAACCGGCAAUGGCAACAAUGACGAUACCUAUAUCUAAUUGUUGAAUAUCGGCAGGGAGAAAAAACCGUUUCACAGCUUCAAAAAUAAUAAAGGCGCCGGCAAUCAUUAUCAGAAAACCUUCGAUCGAUGCCGAAAGAAACUCAGCCUUACCAUGCCCGAAAGGGUGAUCGUCGUCGCGGGGCUUUAGCGAAACAUAAAUGGCAUAAAGGGUUAUAAAUCCGGUGCUUACAUUUACCGUGCUUUCGAGCGCGUCGGUGAGUAUCCCUACCGAAUUAGUGAGA
rnacentral:rRNA from 1 species